GGCCAGGGUCAAAGGAACCUAAUGUGAAAAUGUUUCAGUCUUUUGAUGAAGUAUUCCAGAACACAGAACUCCUUAUCAUACAGAACAUCAAGUUCCUUUAAGAUAUGGGUUGCUAUCUCCAAUUCAUUUUGGGAAGAGGUGAGGAAUUAUCCUAAAAUAACAUAAGUUGGCUUACCCCUGGGCAGGAAGUCUCAUUUACAAGUGAGCCCACCCACCUGUUGAUACCCAGGGCCAUCAUGUCUGCCAAGCAAAAUAAACUCCUUCGUGAACAGACAGGAGCCACGCUGUUCCCUCUGUGCCCAGUCACCAGAA
rnacentral:lncRNA from 1 species